AUUAAAUUGUGCUUAGCCAAUCUAUCAAGCAGAAGUGAAAAAUUUGUGUUGGCCCAACAAGCCUUGCACCAAAAAAAAAAAAAACGCGUGUACGCAUGCGCCUGAGAGAAACCGUUGGUGUAGUGAAUUCAAAUGUCUGUGCGCGAGAGAGCGGAGCCGAUGCUGAGGUACGACAAAACAUCAUUUCCAGACGGAUUUUCCAUCAUUAAAAUUAUGCAGUGGAGGAAUCCCCAGCCACUCAUUCGCUGCUGCGAAGGCUGUCUCCAUAUUUAGUCGAGGCUCAGAAGACAAAGCAUUCCUGAUGUCCACAAACUGAGGACAGAAGAAUUUAACCAGAGCCAGAAAGGCCAAUCCACUCCUCCAGCUUUUACCAAAAUCGUGAAUUUCUACCCCAUAUCUGAAGGAAAAGAUUGAAAUGGUGAGGCUGAAUAAAUUAUGGUUCAUCAUUCAUCACAAAUUAAGUUCAUCCAAUUCAUAGAUUACCCUAAAAAUAAAAGUUAUGUAAUAAUUUUAUAUCACAUUUUGUUCCAAACCUAUAUUAUUGCCAUUCUUCUAUGGAAGUUGUUUUUUUUCCCCAUUAAAUUAAAUCUAAUGGGGACAAAAAAAUUUCAAAAACACCAUCAAAGUAUCCUAAAAGUGGUCCAUGCAAAGUCUUCUGAUAGCUUUGUGUGACUAGCUACAGACCAAAAUUGAAGAUAUAUUUACUGAACAUCUCAACAUCCAGCCAAGACAAAAAAAAUAAAUCAAUAAAUAGUUUGAGCUGGUUUACAAAACCACUAUGAAUGAUUUGUUCAUACUGAUUUGGUUCUUGAUUUCAACUUAUCCAUGAUCAUAAGUUACAGUUUGCUGCAGAAGGAGAUUAUAAAUGAAAGUAGAAAGCUAUUAUCACGAGUCAUAUUAUCAAGAGUAAUAUUGACAACUUUUAUGAUCCACAGCCAUAUCACCCUGCAGCCCAAGACCGGUUGCCCAUGGAAGCUAAGCAGGGCUGAGCCUGGUCAGCAGUGAUGGGAAUAACGGCGUUAUAAAUAAACGGCGUUACUAACGGCGUUAUUUUUUCAGUAACGAGUAAUGAAACAAAUUACUGUUUCCCCCGUUACAACGCCGUUACCGUUACUGACAAUAAAAUGUAGCGUUACUAUAUUAUAUUAUUGGAGUUUAAUUUUUCAGUUCAUCGUAAUGGAUGCGCAGUGUAGCUGUAUUUGACGUACCAUAAACUCUAGUGUGAAGGCGCACACCUCGCCGUCGCUUUCUCUCACAUACACGCGCGCACAGAAAGAUACAGAGAAAGAGAGUCUUUCAUAACAUGCAGAAUUGACGAGGUACAUGUAAACGAUAUUCUUUGUUGUAUUUUCCUGUCAAAAUAACGGAGUUCCUUUGGAAUUCUUCAGCUUUUAAAAACUGCCGGUUUCUCUGGUAGUGGGCGGAGCUAAUGCGCAAACGACAAUCUCAUUGGACGGCGCUCACCUAUUAUCGUCCCUGUUUUGAUUUCAGCAAAUCAAUUCAAGCGAACGCAGACAACGUGAUUAAUAUUCAUGAACCCAGCAGCUCAUUAAUCCUUAAAGCGUUUUGUAUUGAUGACAAAUAUGCAUUCAUACUUGGUUAUUCUAAUUACUAAAGUUCUAUCAUCAUAUAAUAUUAAAUUAUCAUAAUAUUAUAUUAUAAUGCUUGACUGACGUUAAACCGAGGUCCUGACUCUCUGUGGUCAUUAAAAAUCCCAUGACACUCAUUGUAAAGAGUAGGGGUGUAGCCCUGGUGUCCUGGUCAAAUUCCCUCCACUGGCCCUUGUCAAUCAUGGCUUCCCAAUAAUCCCCAUCCACUUGAUUGGCUCUAUGACACUCUCUACUCUCCACCUGUAGCUGGUGUGUGGUGAGCGCACUGGCGCCGUUGUCCUGUGGCUGCCGUCGCAUCAUCCAAGUGGAUGCUGCACACUGGUGGUGGUUGAGGAGAGACCCCCCCCACAUGAUUGUAAAGCGCUUUGGGUGUAUUGCAAUACACAAUAAAGCGCUAUAUAAAUGCCUCAUUCAUUAUGAUGCUUUUGUUGUGCUAUGCAUUUAUUUAUUUUUUAAGUUCGAAAGUUUCAGUCUCCAUUGAAAUGUUGUGGAAAAGAGCGAUCGGGACAUUCAUCAAACUGUCUCCUUUUGUGUUCCACAGACACAAAAAAGAUUUAAGUUACGAAAGUUUAUUAGGUUCUGCGCCCAGCUAAGCAGAGUCUUCAUGGCUGUACCGCGGUACUUGAGAUUUUGAGAUGACCUUUUCCCUUUUGAGGGUAGAGUGCCAAAACUGUCAUCCCCAGGUGAUGCUGGAGAACUACGACCUGAAGAAUCACUGCCACAAGGAUAUUAUGUGAUGACAAACCAUAUUACAGCCUGACAGUUCCUCUAGAAGAGCCAUGAGAAUCUUUCCAUCCUGAAUAUCAGUGAAUAAGUUAUGAACCUGUAAAGGUGGGUCACGCUACAACACAGAGAAACACAACAACACGGUACUUUUUCAAUACUUUUGUUGUAGUAAUAGGCCUAUAAGGUAAAUGUCAUGUGUGUAUAUAUAUAUAAGUAACAUGUUGAGACUCAUAUUGGUUUCAUCUUGUGCUGUCUUAUAAAAGUUGAAAACAUUGAAUGGCUUUGCAGUAGAAAGAAGACAA